rnacentral:rRNA from 1 species
GACGAACUGUUCUAACGUUAUUCGGAAUCACUGGGCUUAAAGGGCGCGUAGGCUGUUUGUUAAGCGGGGUCUGAAAUCCCUCGGCUCAACCGAGGAAUGGCGCCCAAAACUGCGGAGCUCGAGGGAGACAGAGGUGAGUGGAACUUGUGGUGGAGCGGUGAAAUGCGUUGAUAUCACAAGGAACACCGGUGGCGAAAGCGGCUCACUGGGUCUCUUCUGACGCUGAGGCACGAAAGCUGGGGGAGCGAACGGGAUUAGAUACCCCGGUAGUCCCUGA